rnacentral:rRNA from 1 species
GUAGGGAAUAUUGCACAAUGGAGGAAACUCUGAUGCAGCGACGCCGCGUGAGUGAUGAAGGCCUUCGGGUCGUAAAGCUCUGUCGCAGGGGAAUAACACAAUGAAGGUACCCUGUAAGUAAGGAUCGGCUAACUUCGUGCCAGCAGCCGCGGUAAGACGAGGGAUCCUAGCGUUGUUCGGAAUCAUUGGGCGUAAAGCGGAUGUAGGUGGCUAUGUAAGUCAGAUGUGAAAGCCUGGGGCUCAACCCCAGAAGUGCAUUUGAUACUGCGUAGCUUGAGUGUCGGAGAGGUUACUAGAAUUGUUGGUGUAGUGGUGAAAUACGUAGAUAUCAACAGGAAUACCGGAGGCGAAGGCGGGUAACUGGCCGAACACUGACACUGAGAUCCGAAAGCGUGGGGAUCAAACAGGAUUAGAUACCCGGGUAGUCC